rnacentral:rRNA from 1 species
GAUGAACGCUGGCGGCGUGCCUAAUACAUGCAAGUCGAGCGAACGGACGAGAAGCUUGCUUCUCUGAUGUUAGCGGCGGACGGGUGAGUAACACGUGGAUAACCAACCUAUAAGACUGGGAUAACUUCGGGAAACCGGAUCUAAUACCGGAUAAUAUUUUGAACCGCAUGGUUCAAAAGUGAAAGACGGUCUUGCUGUCACUUAUAGAUGGAUCCGCGCUGCAUUAGCUAGUUGGUAAGGUAACGGCUUACCAAGGCAACGAUGCAUAGCCGACCUGAGAGGGUGACCGGCCACACUGGAACUGAGACACGGUCCAGACUCCUACGGGAGGCAGCAGUAGGGAAUUUUGCGCAAUGGGCGAAAGCCUGACGGAGCAAAGCCGCGUGAGUGAUGAAGGUCUUCGGAUUGUAAAACUCUGUUAUAAGGGAAGAACAUAUGUGUAAGUAUCUGUGCACAUAUUGACGGUACCUAAUCAGAAAGCAACGGCUAACUACGUG